rnacentral:rRNA from 1 species
GAUGAACGCUGGCGGCGUACCUAAUACAUGCAAGUCGAGCGAACAGACUAGGAGCUUGCUCCUUUGACGUUAGCGGCGGACGGGUGAGUAACACGUGGAUAACCUACCUAUAAGACUGGGAUAACUUCGGGAAACCGGAGCUAAUACCGGAUAAUAUAUUGAACCGCAGGGUUCAAUAGUGAAAGACGCUUUUGCUGUCACUUAUAGAUGGAUCCGCGCGGCAUUAGCUAGUUGGGAAGGUAACGGCUUACCAAGGCAACGAUGCGUAGCCGACCUGCAAGGGUGAACGGCCACACUGGAACUGACACACGCUCCAAACACCUACGGGAGGCAGCAGUAGGGAAUCUGCCGCAAUGGGCGAAAGCCUGACGGAGCAACGCCACGUGAGUGAUGAAGGUCUUCGGAUCGUAAAACUCUGUUAUUAGGGAAGAACAAAUGUGUAAGUAACUAUGCACGUCUUGCCGGUACCUAAUCAGAAAGCCACGGCUAACUACGU